ensembl:lncRNA
ACUGAGUGUUCUAUAGCCAGGGACCCACAUCACCAGUUGGAGGAAGUUGCAGAGACGGUUGACUCUAUUGGUGCAGUGACUGUUUAUCCAGAAAAAUAGUGGUUGUUCAGUCAACGUUGCAAGGUUGCCUUUUUGGGACUUUAUUCCAUAUAUCCAAAGCACACUGGAUGUGGCAGGUCUGAAGAAGCAGAACAGGGAUGGGUUCAUUCAUCACCUAUGCUGACCCAAAGGGGAAAAAAAAAGUGCAGUCUAUGUGAUGGGGGAUGCAGCCGCAGCCUUGGGUCACCAUUUGCUUUCCUGACUGGUGAAUUGCUGGAGCUACCUGAAAGCCCAGUUGUAAGAGGAAUAGUGUUUUCCACGUUGAGUCACCGGAUGGGGAUUGCAAAGAACUCAUUAUCAGCCCUGCAUUUGACUUUCAGUUUGAUUUUUUGGACUGCAGUCCCUACCUGCAAACUGGAAAUCGCCUCUGUGAAGUGCAUGUCAGUAUCAGCUCCUGCACUGAAUCUAUGAGGAAACACGACAGGAAACAGCUGCAGGUGGCUUGGUCAGUCUGGGUAGGUGGUUCUCCCAUGGUCACCUCACCAGAACUGGAUCCAAUCCUAACAAAAUAGAAAUGGUGCAGUCAGACUGCUCCUUUUCCUCUUUUCUCUGGAUAUAUUAUUGCAACACACAUUUUUAUUCUUGAUGAAGUGCGUAUCUUCCUUCUGUUUCCCAAGAUGUGUUCAUUUCCUACCUACAAAUCUGUACUUUUUCUUUUAGAGAAAAAUUGUGUUCCCUAGGAUUUUUUCCUUGCAAAUCUGUCUUAAUCUAUACCUGCCUACAACAUGAACUGUUCCUACUGUACUACCCUGAACUCUUAGACUGAAUCCUGUCGUCUAAUUGUGGCUGCCCCAGUUCAAUUGCUGUUUGUUACUGUGGGUGCAUCUCUUGAUUGUUGCUGCACUGAAAUCACGCAUGAUGUUUUUGCUUUUUCACCUAACGGUUGGGAAAAGCAUUGUUUUCUCUUCUGUCAAGACUUAUAUCCUGCUUAGCAUUUGCCCAUCACUCCUCUGUUCUAGGAAAUGUAAUAUGAAUCUUCCUCUCCUGUGUAUUUUCUUCAGCCUGAGCACCAGAGACGUCUGAGUCACAACAGAUCUAUGAUAAAAUUUUUGGUUUCUUUGCUCUUCUCCUUUGUGGGAUGUGUAUUACUGCAGCUGAUAAAUACACACUCUCCUCUCCACAUACAAGCAGUUUGACAUUUGAACAAUGAAGUGUGUUCCCUUGGUCAUUUCCUAAAUAAUUUCCACGAUGAAACUGUCAGCUCUUAGCCUCUGCUACCUCCAAGCCAACUGCAACCUUGUGCAAUUUCUGCUAGGUAUUAUUUUGCUCCUUUUGAAAUGCUUUCCUUUACUCUUCACCAUUCGACCUUUUUUUCUCAUCUGAAUAGAGAACUGACAUUAUAAUUUCUCAUCCGCUGUCCUUUCAUGCAUAAUGGCAGUUAUUGCCAGGCCCUAUUCCACCCCACUCACUCCUGCGUCUCAUGGUUCUGAGGUCCCUUGGGACUGCUCCCUUCUACUUCAUGAUCAGGGCACACUGUAUUCCUGAAGUCUGUCCCAUCCUGGUGAUUGGUCUUUACUGU